AUUGAACGCUGGCGGCAUGCCUAACACAUGCAAGUCGAACGAGUGGCGGACGGGUGAGUAAUGUCUGUGAAACUGCCUGAUGGAGGGGGAUAACUACUGGAAACGGUAGCUAAUACCGCAUACCAUCAGAUUUGCCCAGAUGGGAUUGGCUUGUUGGUGGGGUAACGGCUCACAAAGGCGACGAUCCCUAGCUGGUCUGAGAGUAUGACCAGCAACACUGGACCUGGGACACGGUCCGAACUCCUACGGGAGGCAGCAGUGGGGAAUAUGGCACAAUGGGCGCAAGCCUGAUGCAGACAUGCCGCGUGUAUGAAGAAGGCCUUCGGGUUGUAAAGUACUUUCAGCGGGGAGGCGUUACCCGCAGAAGAAGCACCGGCUAACUCCGUGCCAGCAGCCGCGGUAAUUC
rnacentral:rRNA from 1 species